rnacentral:rRNA from 1 species
UACGUAGGGUGCGAGCGUUAAUCGGAAUUACUGGGCGUAAAGCGCACGUAGGCGGCUUUGUAAGUUAGAGGUGAAAGCCCGGGGCUCAACUCCGGAAUUGCCUUUAAGACUGCAUCGCUAGAAUUGUGGAGAGGUAAGUGGAAUUCCGAGUGUAGAGGUGAAAUUCGUAGAUAUUGGGAAGAACACCGGUGGCGAAGGCGGCCAUCUGGACCGCAACUGACGCUGAGGCGCGAAAGCGUGGGGAGCAAACAGG